GCCUGGGUGGCUCAGUCGGUUAAGCAUCCGACUUUGGCUCAGGUCAUGAUCUCAUGGUUCGUGGGUUCAAGCCCCGCGUCGGGCU
rnacentral:tRNA from 1 species